rnacentral:lncRNA from 1 species
UAUUCUUUAAAACCUGAUAAAGAAUUGGAAACAUUUGGCUAAUUAACAUUUUUAUAGUUAAAGCUCUUAGUCUUGAUUAAAGUAAGAAGUAUUGUAAAAAUGCAUUGGCAGUUUGGCAACUCUUUUUUUUAAUAUAGUUAAGCAUGAAGCUGGAUUUAGUGUGGAACCAAAUUCCACAUACAUGCUUACAUUGCUUCAUACUAUGUUUACUGUUUUGCAUGGAUAGUGCUGGAGUACUUAUUGGUCAUACGCCUAAAGUGAAUUUGUUAAUUGCACAGGAUGUAUGAUAAUAUUAGUGAACUUAAGGAUACUGAAUUGUGUAUCAGGAAUAAAAUAUUCAUUAUGUGGGUUUUUGGGGGCCCUAUGUAACACUGUAGCCUCCAGGGUAAAUUGAAUAAGAAAAUUUAGGGUUGGUUUCCUGCUUAUUUGUUUUUGCUUCUAGUUUUCAUUUGUUUGCCAUUUGUUCUCCUCUGACUUUGCUUGUGUAUGCAUGUAUAUAAAAACCAUGAUUUUUCUUAGUUCCUAGUGGAAGGUUUUCAUUUAGUUCUGUGUUCCUGUGCAUUUCUAGCAAGUCAUCAUUCAUUCCAUUUUUCUGGAAUUCCCAAGCUACCUUUGUUGGGCCUGCAGGAAUUAAUGGAGCAUACUAGCUUUUUUAUCCUUAAACUAACUUUUUGGAUUUUAGGCUUCCUGAUACUUUAAGUGUGUUGAGUAUACUCUCACAAAUAGAAUUUUAGUCAUAUUUCUCUCACUCUGCCUAGUUUCUCCAAAAUUUGUAAACUAUUUAUGAAUAUUCUUAAUUCAUUGCAAUGUGUUUGUUUGCAUACAGUCAAGCAGGGUCCCUGGGGCCACUCAGGGAGAGAAUGUCAGGCCUCUGAGCCCAAGCUAAGCCGUCAUAUCCCCUGUGACCUGCACGUAUACAUCCAGAUGGCCUGAAAUAACUGAAGAAUCACAAAGAAGUGAAAAUGGCCUGUUCCUGCCUUAACUGAUAACAUUACCUUGUGAAAUUCCUUCUCCUGGCUCUUCUGGCUCAAAAGCUCCCCCACUGAGCACCUUGUGACCCCCACCCCUGCCAGCCAAAAAACAACCCCCUUUGACUGUAAUUUUCCAUUACCUACCCAAAUCCUAUAAAACAGCCCCACCCCUAUCUCCUUUUGCUGACUCUUUUCGGAUUCAGCCUGCCUGCACCCAGGUGAUUAAAAAGCUUUAUUGCUCACACAAAGCCUGUUUGGUGGUCUCUUCACAGGGACACGCAUGAAAUUUGGUGCCAUGACUCGGAUCAGGGGACCUCCCUUGGGAGAUCAAUCCCCUGUCCUCCUGCUCUUUGCUCAGUGAGAAAGAUCCACCUAUGACCUCAGGUCCUCAGACCAACCAGCCCAAGGAACAUCCCACCAAUUUUAAACCCGGACCCCACUGGAAACUGGACUGUCCAACUCACCCAGCAGCCACUCCCAGAGCCCCUGGAACUCUGGCCCAAGGCUAUCUGACUGACUCCUUCCCAGAUCUUCUCCGCUUAGCGGCUGAAGACUGAUGCUGCCCAAUCGCCUCAGAAGCUUCCUGGAUCAUCACAGAUGCUUUAGGUAACUCUUACAGUGGAGGGUAAGUCCGUCCCCUUCUUAAUCAAUAUGGAGGCUACCAACUCCACAUUACCUUCUUUUCAAGGGCCUAUUUCCUUUGCCUCCACAACUAUUGUGGGUAUUGACAGCCAGGCUUCUAAACCUCUUAAAACUUCCCAACUCUGGUGCCAACUUGGACAAUAUUCUUUUAUGCACUCCUUUUUAGUUAUCCCCACCUGCCCAGUUCCCUUAUUAGGUCAAGACAUUUUAACUAAAUUAUCUGCUUCCCUGACUAUUCCUGGGCUACAGCCACACCUUAUUGCCACCCUUUUCCCCAGUUUAAAGCCUCCUUCACAUCCUCCCCUUGUAUCUCCCCACCUUAAUCCACACAUAUGGGACAUGUCUACUCCCUCCUUGGUGACUGAUCAUGCACCCCUUACCAUCCCAUUAAAACCUAAUCACCCUUACCCUGUUCAAUGCUAAUAUCCUAUCCCACAGCAUGCUUUAAAAAGAUUAAAGCCUGUUAUCACUUGCCUGUUACAGCAUGGCCUUUUAAAGCCUAUAAUCUCUCCUUAUAAUUCCCCCAUUUUACCUGUUCAAAAACCAGACAGGUCUUACAGGUUAGUGCAGGAUCUGUGCCUUAUCAACCAAAUUGUUUUGCCUAUCCACCCCAUGGUGCCAAACUCAUAUAUGCUCCUAUCCUCCAUACCUCCCUCCACAACCCAUUAUUCUGUUCUGGAUCUCAAACAUGCUUUCUCUACUAUUCCUUUGCACCCUUCAUCCCAGCCUCUCUUCACUUUCACUUGGACUGACCCUGACACCCAUCAGGCUCAGCAAAUUACCUGGGCUGUACUGCUGCAAGUCUUCACGGACAGGCCCCAUUACUUCAGUGAACCCCAAUUUCUUCCUCAUCCAUUACCUAUCUCAACAUAAUUCUUCAUGAAAACACACAUGCUCUCCCUGCUGAUCACGUCCAGCUAAUCUCACAAACCCUAACCCCUUCUACAAAGCAACAAUGCCUUUCCUUCCUAGGCAUGGUUAGAUACUCCACCUUUGGAUACCUAGUUUUACCAUCCUGACUAAACCAUUAUAUAAACUUAAAAAUGCAAACUUAGCUGAUCCCAUAGAUCCUAAAUUCUUUCGCCACUCCUCUUUCUGUUCCUUAAAAACAGCCCUAGAAGCUGCUCCCACACUAGCUCUCUCUAACUCAUCCAACCCUUUUUCAUUACACACAGCUGAAGUGCAGGGCUGUGCGGUCAGAAUUCUUACACAAGAGCCAGGACCGCGCCCGGCAGCCUUUCUAUCCAAACAACUUGACCUUACUGUUUUAGCCUAGCCCUCAUGUCUGUGUACGGCAGCUGUCGCUGCUUUAAUACUUUUAGAGGCCCUCAAAAUCACAAACUGUGCUCAACUCACUCUCUCCAGUUCUCAUAACUUCCAAAAUCUAUUUUCUUCCUCACACCUGAUGCAUAUACUUUCUGCCCCGCUCCACUACCUCUCAGCAAGCUGAACUCAUUGCCUUAACUGGAGCCCUAACCCUUGCAAAUGAAUUACACGUCAAUAUUUAUACUGACUCUAAAGAUGCCUUCCAUAUCCUGCACCACCAUGCUGUUGUAUGGGCUGAAAGAGGUCUCCUCACUACACAAGGGUCCUCCAUCUUAAUGCCUCUUUAAUAAAAACUCUUCUCAAGGCCGCUUUACUUCCAAAGGAAGCUGGAGUCAUUCACUGCAAGGGCCAUCAAAAGGCAUCAGAUCCCAUUGCUCUGGGCAAUGCUUAUGCUGAUAAGGUAGCUAAAAAGCAGCUAGCAUUCCAACUUCUAUCCCUCACAGCCAGUUUUUCUCCUUCUCAUCGGUCACUCCCACCUACUCCCCUACUAAAACUUCCACCUAUCAAUCUCUUCCCACACAAGGCAAAUGGUUCUUAGACCAAGGAAAAUAUCUCCUUCCAGCCUCACAGGCCCAUUCUAUUCUGUCGUCAUUUCAUAACCUCUUCCAUGUAGGUUACAAGCCACUAGCCCACCUCUUAGAACCUCUCAUUUCCUUUCCAUCAUGGAAAUCUAUCCACAAGGAAAUCACUUCUCAGGGUUCCAUCUGCUAGUCUACUACUCCUCAGGACCCUCCCUUCCCUACACAUCAAGCUCAGGGAUUUGCCUCUGCCCAGGACUGGCAAAUUGACUUUACUCACAUGCCCCAAGUCAGGAAACUAAAAUACCUCUUGGUCUAGGUAGACACGUUCACCGGUUGGGUAGAGACCUUUCCCGUAGGGUCUGAAAAGGCCACCACGAUCAUUUCUUCCCUUCUGUCAGACAUAAUUCCUCGGUUUGGCCUUCCUACCUCUAUACAGUCUGAUAACAGACCAGCCUUUAUUAGUCAAAUCACUCAAGCAGUUUCUCAGGCUCUUGGUAUUCAGUGAAACCUUCAUACCCCUUACCGUCUUCAAUCUUCAGGAAAGGUAAAACGGACUAAUGGUCUUUUAAAAACACACCUCACCAAACUCAGCCUCCAACUUAAAAAAAGGACUCUGUCAAGAAUAGAGCCCAAAAACUCACCAACCAAACAAGUAAUUACACUGAAUCCCCUUGGGCACUCUCUAAUCGGAUGUCCUGGGUCCUCCCAAUUCUUAGUCCUUUAAUACCUGUUUUUCUCCUUCUCUUAUUCAGACCUUGUGUCUUCCAUUUAGUUUUUCAGUUCAUACAAAAUUGCAUCCAGGCCAUCACCAAUCAUUCUACAUGACAAAUGCUCCUUUUAACAACCCCACAAUAUCACCCCUUACCACAAAAUCUUCCUUUGGCUUAAUCUCUCCCACUCUAGGUUCCCACACUGCCCUUAAUCCUGCUUGAAGCAGCCCUGAGAAACAUUGCCCAUUAUCUCUCCAUACCACCCCCAAAAUUUUUGCUGCCCCAACACUUCAACACUAUUUUAUGUUAUUUUUCUUACUAAUAUAAGAAGACAGGAAUAUCAGGCCUCUGAGCCCAAGCUAAGCCAUCAUGUCCCCUGUGACCUGCACGUAUGCACCCAGAUGGCCUGAAGUAACUGAAGGAUCACAAAAGAAGUGAAAACGGCCUGUUCCUGCCUUAACUGAUGACAUUACCUUGUGAAAUUCCUUCUCCUGGCUCAUCCUGGCUCAAAAGCUCCCCCACUGAGCACCUUGUGUCCCCUGCCCGUGCCUGCCAAAGAACAACCCCUUUGACUGUAAUUUUCCAUGACCUACCCAAAUCCUAUAAAACGGCCCCACCCCUAUCUCCCUUCGCUGACUCUCUUUACGGACUUAGCCCACCUGCACCCAGGUGAUUAAAAAGCUUUAUUGCUCACACAAAGCCUGUUCAGUGGUCUCUUCACAGGGACACGCGUGAAAGAGAGAACCCUGAAAUCUGGCAUGCCGGUGAAAGGAUAAGAAUUUCUUAUGAGUCAGUCUCUGGGCUCUUUCCCUCUAUGCAAACUGGUUAAAUAUAAAGUAGAAGUCACGUAUAUCUCCUCUGUAAGAUUUUAAAUUAAUUGGUUUAAUAAUAAUAAAAGCUUAAGUCAAAUAUUUUGUCAGAAAAGUAGAAAGUGUAAUGCCUUUUAGUUCAUGUGACUUUAGCAAUAGUUGGGAAAUAAAGACAGUUUUCAAGAUUAUUGGAAAAAUACAGUUGUCUUCAAAAUGUAAACAUGUGGUGUACAUUAUGUUCAAAUACUAGGUUUGCUAAAUCCUUUAACAUCAUAAGCUACUCCUUUGGCUUUUGAAAAUUGUUUAACUUGCCUGCUUUCCAGCUAGGUAAGGCCUGGGGACACGUGGAGUUAGCCAUGCCCCUAGCUGUGCUGGAAGUAGUCAAACCUUAUCAGAAACUUUAUCAGAACUUACCAGUUUUUUUUGUUUUUGUUUUUGUUUUGACAGAGUCUCACUCUGUCCCCCAGGCUGGAGUGCAGUGGCGCAAUCUCGGCUCACCCACAAUCUCCAUCUCCCAGAUUCAAGCAAUUCUCUGCCCUAGCCUCCUGAGUAGCUGGAAUUACAGACGCCCGCCACCACACCUGGCUAAUUUUUUAUUAUUAUUUUUAGUAGAGAUGGGGUUUUACCAUCUUGGCUAGGCUGGUCUUGAACUCCUGACCUCAUGAUCCACCCGCCUCGGCCUCCCAAAGUGCUGGGAUUACAGGAGUGAGCCACCGCGCCUGGCC